rnacentral:tRNA from 1 species
GUCUCGGUAGUGUAAGGGAUACGAGCACGGUCUCCGGAAAAGAGAGGUACGGGUUCGAUUCCCGUCCGAUACU